GACGAACGCUGGCGGCGUGCUUAACACAUGCAAGUCGAACGGAAAGGCCCUGCUUUUGUGGGGUGCUCGAGUGGCGAACGGGUGAGUAACACGUGAGUAACCUGCCCUUGACUUUGGGAUAACUUCAGGAAACUGGGGCUAAUACCGGAUAGGAGCUCCUGCUGCAUGGUGGGGGUUGGAAAGUUUCGGCGGUUGGGGAUGGACUCGCGGCUUAUCAGCUUGUUGGUGGGGUAGUGGCUUACCAAGGCUUUGACGGGUAGCCGGCCUGAGAGGGUGACCGGCCACAUUGGGACUGAGAUACGGCCCAGACUCCUACGGGAGGCAGCAGUGGGGAAUAUUGCACAAUGGGCGGAAGCCUGAUGCAGCAACGCCGCGUGCGUGAUGCCGGCCUUCGGGUUGUAAACCGCUUUCGCCUGUGACGAAGCGUGAGUGACGGUAAUGGGUAAAGAAGCACCGGCUAACUACGUG
rnacentral:rRNA from 1 species